AGAGUUUGAUCAUGGCUCAGAAUCAACGCUGGCGGCGCGCUUAACACAUGCAAGUCGCACGAGAAAGUGGAGCAAUCCAUGAGUACAGUGGCGUACGGGUGAGUAACACGUGGGUAAUCUACCUCUUAGUGGGGAAUAACCCUGGGAAACCGGGGCUAAUACCGCAUAAGCUCGAGAGAGGAAAGCAGCAAUGCGCUGAGAGAGGAGCCCGCGGCCGAUUAGCUAGUUGGUAGGGUAAAAGCCUACCAAGGCAAAGAUCGGUAGCCGGCCUGAGAGGGCACACGGCCACACUGGCACUGAAACACGGGCCAGACUCCUACGGGAGGCAGCAGUGGGGAAUCUUGCACAAUGGGGGCAACCCUGAUGCAGCGACGCCGCGUGAGCGAUGAAGCCCUUCGGGGUGUAAAGCUCUUUCGGCAGGGAAGAUUAUGACGGUACCUGCAGAAGCAGCUGCGGCUAACUACGUGCCAGCAGCCGCGGUAAUACGUAGGCAGCGAGCGUUGUUCGGAGUUACUGGGCGUAAAGGGUGUGUAGGCGGUUGUUUAAGUUUGGUGUGAAAUCUCCCGGCUCAACUGGGAGGGUGCGCCGAAUACUGAAUGACUAGAGUGCGGGAGAGGAGAGUGGAAUUCCUGGUGUAGCGGUGAAAUGCGUAGAUAUCAGGAGGAACACCGGCGGUGUAGACGGCUCUCUGGACCGUAACUGACGCUGAGACACGAAAGCGUGGGUAGCAAACAGGAUUAGAUACCCUAGUAGUCC
rnacentral:rRNA from 1 species